rnacentral:lncRNA from 1 species
CACACAGCAGCUCUGAACCUUCUCAUUUUCAACAACAGAAACUAUGGUCUUCGCUGUGCUUUCAAGGCUCCUUCUUGGGAUUGUGUUGCUUUCUGAUAUUCAAAGUGUGUCGAAUGAAGAGGUGGACAUAAGCACCCUCGCCAGGAUUCGAGUACAUUUAAAUUUGAAAUACACUUAUGGAGGUGCUGUGCAAUAUGCCAUCAAUGUCCCGAAGGAGCAGUGUCGAAGAGGUUUCAUCCCAUCAUCAUUUAACUUUCUGACAAAAGACAUGUCAAGCGAUGUUAGGCCUUACUUUCAACAUGACAAUAAAGAAGUCUACCAAGGCACUGAACUCACGGCUACAGUGGUUCAUAGAGAUGCCCCUUAUGAGCAUUUACUGAUGAAUCCUCCAAAUAAAUCUCCUUUGACACACUUGCUGAAUAAAAGGAGUGAUGGAUGUGUGAUUUUCUACACUUAUCGGUUCUCUCCCUGUGUAGACGGAUGUCUUAACAGUAGUGUUAUGCUUGCAGGUCUUCAGGAAUUAGAGAAUUAUCAGGGAAUGAAAGCCUUUGUUUACACACAUACACAUAAAGAAGAUCAGAACUACCACAACCUACAUAAUAAACUGAAAAAGAUUGCUGAGCAUGUGCCACUUUACCAAUGUCGUGGACGUAGUUGUACGCCUUGUGGAAACCAUGUGAGAAGCAGAUGUUUAAGAUAGGUUCAUCCUGUUGAGUUUCUUCAGUGCUUUAACUGAUCUGUGCUUUGGCACUGGAGUUUCAGA